rnacentral:rRNA from 1 species
AGAGCGAACGCUGGCGGCAUGCUUAACACAUGCAAGUCGCACGGGCAGGGGCAACCCUGUCAGUGGCGGACGGGUGAGUAACGCGUAGGUAUCUAUCCUUGGGCGGGGGACAACUGUGGGAAAACUACAGCUAAUACCGCAUGAUGACCGAGGUCCAAAGCUCGCGAGAGCGCCUGGGGAGGAGCCUGCGUACGAUUAGCUAGUUGGUGGGGUAAAGGCCUACCAAGGCGACGAUCGUUAGCUGGUCUGAGAGGAUGAUCAGCCACAUUGGGACUGAGACACGGCCCAAACUCCUACGGGAGCAGCAGUGGGGAAUAUUGGACAAUGGGCGCAAGCCUGAUCCAGCAAUGCCGCGUGUGUGAAGAAGGUCUUCGGAUUGUAAAGCACUUUCGACGGGACGAUGAUGGACGGUACCCGUAGAAGAAGCCCCGGCUAACUUCGCGCCAGCAGCCGCGGUAA